CCUGUGAAAACCGACCGUUGUGAUCUCGUAAAACAACAAGUUGGGUUGUGAACUUGUAAAACAACCGGCUGUAAUCCGAGGGAUUAUAGUGAAUUCCCAAGUGAGGCUUGGGGAGUGGACGUAGGAGUAAGGGUUAGCUCCGAACCACUAUAAAAUUUCUUGUGUUUGUGAUUGCUCCAUUGUCUCUUACUUUCCCUUCAUCCACUGCAUAUAGCAACUAAUUAAUCCACUAGCAAAAAGUUUUAAUUAGUUACUCACAAAGCUUUUAAUUGCAAUAAUUAUUUUAAAACCCAAUUCACCCCGCCUCUUGGGUUGUCUAUCUGGGCAACAAAAAUACUAACUACUAAGGUAAAAAUUAAAUCUAAAAUUAUACUAAUAACUCAGUCGUUCUCCGGCAACGGCACCAAAAACUUGGUGCGUUCGAAAAACUGUUCUCCCAAGUGCAGGAGAAUCGCACAAGUAGUAUAACUCGGGAGUCCGAGGUCAAUUCCUCAGGAAACGAUCUAUAAAUUAUUAGCGUAAUUUUUAGAUGUAAUUUUUAGUUGACCUUCAAAAAUUAAAAGCAGAGAAUAAUAGGUAAUUAAACAACAUUCAAGAAUAUAGAGAAGACUAGGGAUCCGGAAUCCUCCUUGACAAUAUUACUUUUAAUAAAUAAACUCGGCGAUUCUUGACUAAGGAUUAAUAUGAUAGAGUAGUUCUAAUCAUGGAGUAUACAAUAUGAGAACAUGAAUUUAACAUCCAAGUAUUUAUCGUGCCAGUUACGUCUACGACAAAUCAAGCAUUGAAACAAUCCAUGCAUCAAUAUAUAUAAACCAUACAAGAUCUAUCUAAUAAAUAAAUAUGCAAGAAUCCAAAACAUACCAAUGGAUAUAAAACAAUUAGAAUAAA
rnacentral:lncRNA from 1 species